rnacentral:lncRNA from 1 species
GCAAAUCGAGGGAACGAGCUCCGGCUGCUCCUUUCUUCCUCAUCUCCAUCGUCGGCCACCAAGAAGACGAAGGUCGCCAACGAAAUAGAGCAGCGGCCGUUUCAUCUUCUUUUGCGUUCCUUAAUCUAGUCUCGAUGCCGGUUCCAUCCCCUCUAAUCUCAGCCCCUAUCAUGCAGUGGUUUUAUGGGAACGCGGACCUCGCCAUCGUUGCUCCGGGUUCACGUCGUCGUUCCAACCGAACUGAACCACCACAAGCCGAACCCUUGCGCCACCAGGGUCGCCUCGACGUCCCCUUCAAGAUUCCUCAAGAACCACAUGGAUCGGUGAAUCGAGGAGGGAGAUCGGCGUCAUCUUCUCCAACUCCGGCCGCCGGCAUCGAUCUUCGAUUCCUGCCACUUCGGUGAGCCAUUGUUCGAUUCCUCGCGCACAAACCAUCCCUGUAACCUCACUACCCUCGUGCAUGCUGUUCUCUUGCAGCUCAUCGUCCCGUUCGAGCUGUCGUCGUUCACCCGCGGAAGGACGCCGUCGCCAAGCGGUUCCGCAAGUCGCCGCUGCUGCCAAGACCUCGACAACCCUCGUUAGACUCACAGUGAGCAUCCUGGAGACCUAUUAGUUACAUGCAUGCACUCCAUUCACCUAGAUCUGACCUCUAAAUCAACCUGCAUCGUCACCCCGAGGACUGCCGCCGCUCGCGCCGCCAUUGCCAUCGAUUCUGACCACUGCAGCUCGCAAAAAGGAUACCGUCGGGUUCGCAUUUAUGUAGGCUACCUUUUCUCUUUUGGAUGCACACCGACAUGGGCCGCCGUUCAUCGCCGGCGCCGGCGAGAAACUCGCCGAGCCGCCGCUGCUCUGUCCGCCGGCCACCGUCUCACUGACGAGCGGGCCCCAUGUCAUUAGGCACUGAGAACCUCAUUUAGAGAAAGUUUAAAUCUUGUAAGGUUUAAAAUGUAAAAUAUGUUAGACUUACAUGUGGGACAACGGACUAAUUAGUAAUGAAUUAAAAGAAUCUGAGGACUCUUAAUGAAUUUGGUUCAUCGCACAUUUUGGACUGCAGAUUGAUUCCUUGAAACCUCAAGGGCCUUCCUGCAUAUUAGUCUCUCACUGACUUGUGGACCCAACUAUUUAAAAACUGGAAAAAGGAUAAAAGAAAUACACAAACUAAUAAUUUGAUAUCAAGAAAACACCUAAACUUGUAAAAUCCAUAUAAAAUUAAAUAUAGCUCAUUUUGAGAUGAUUCAAACUUCUGUAGAUUCAUAAAGUUAUUAAAUUUAAUAUAGAAAUUUAUAAAAUGCAUAUAAAAUUCAUCUCAACUUAGUUUUGAACAAACUUAAGUUCCACAGAUUCAUCAACUUACACUCUCUGAUUAGGAGAAAUAAAAGUAUAUAAUUACUUCUUUUCCAAAUGCCUUUAAAACUAUUAUCUUUAAAAUAAUAAGUUUUAGAUAAGUUAAACUUUAGAAGUUCAUAUAAAAUUCAUCUUAACUCCUCUUUGAGUAAACUCAAGUUCUGUAGAGUCACCAAAACAUGUAUUUCCAAGUUGUAAAAUAAAAAUAUAAACUUUCUGUAUAAUAAAAACAUCUAAAUAUUUAUAUAAGGAAAUAACCAACUUGGGGUAGCCUUUAAUUUGUACAACUUAUAGAAAAUUCAUCCUUAGUCCAGAAAGAGUGAACCAAGUUUCUAUGGAGUCAGAAAAAGAGUGAACUUAAAUUUAGUAAAGUAAAAUGUGGCACUUUUUGUACAAAUUAUAGCUCUGAACCUUAAUUGGAUAAAAUUGGUGCUAAUCAUAUAGUGUUGAUUAAGCAAAACAUAGGUAUGUAUAUAUAUAGAUGUAGUCUAGCUCUAAUUAAACCUAACUAAAAUUUGUUAGACCAGAAAAGCUAUAAAUUCAUCCUCAUUCACUAAAACCUAGAUGAACAUAGCUUGUGUAACAAAACUCUAGGUUAAUAUGUAAAGUCAUUAACAUAGAACAUUCCCUAAGUUACAAAAUGUGUAGUAGAGUAAUAUCAACUCAAAGUUUGUGAACUAAAAUUUGAUUAGUAGACUAAAUCAUUCAUUUUAAACAUCACUAGCAAGAUGAAACAAGUUCUGGACCUAAACCUCUAAAGCCAUGAACCUAUAUAACACUAUACAGCUAUAAAAAGUUGUAACUUCUAAAAUACAUUAGAAAUUCAUAGAAACUCUAAAAAUUGUGAAACCAAAUGUUCUAGUCUUAGAAAACUCAUCUCUUCACCUCUGUGAAGUCAAAUUUAAUUAAAAUCAAUUUAUAGAAACAUUUUAUAACACUGCCUAAUUAAACACUACUACAUACCGACAUAACUUCUAAAAUUCAUAACUCUCAAAUGGAAUGAGACAAAAUGGAAAUUCUUUCACCUAAGUUCAUUUUAGAUCAGUACCUACUUAUUAUGCACAAAUCAUACAUUUUAGAGCAUUUUAGAUUUUUGACUAUUUCGGUGUUUAAUUGCAUAACGUGUAUUUUAUUUAGAUAAUUGCAUAAGCGGUGAAGGAAUGGAUUAGGUGCAAACAUUUCUCAAUAUCAAGGCAAGUUCUCCUCCCAUCCUUUGAACACAUUGAAUCCCAUGAUUUGAGGAAUGAAAAUAUUUGUUUGCAAAGUUGCAUAUGAACUUAAACUAUACCGAUAUUUAAAAUUGGGAUAAGGUAGUUAUGACCUAUCUGCUGCAUACCCUACCUUCAAUAAUUGUGAUCCUUGCUGCUUAAACCCCUAGAAAUGGUUAGAGUACACUCUUUGUGCUCAAAUAGGUUUAUAUAUGCUCUAUGUCCAACUACUUGCUUAGCCAUGCUUAGAAACAUGCAAAUGCUCAUUCCAUCUAUAAUUAAAAUAUGAUUUUGACGCAUGAACCUUUGCUGGAAUAAAAUGAAUAUGAUAGGUAUUUGUGAACUAAAAUAAGUAAAAUGUGAUUUUAGACUUGGGCGGCAAGUGGUGUGCAUAUGAUGUUAGUUGCAUACCGAUAGGGGGAGUGUUUGCCCGAGUCCGUAAGGACUGAACUUGUGUCACCAACUUAAAGUUAUUCGUACAUCCACAUGUGCUAGUAUGGGAUGGACUAAGCUGAUUAAUCUAUUUAGAACUAGCCUUGCAUUCUGGUAGGCCGGUGUGUAUGAGUUGGAAUAAUUCAGAGGAGCUUCCUAUUUACCCCAAAGUGGUAGUUUAGGUGACUAAACAUGUCCAAUACAACGGUAUUGUGCCACGUGGUGGGUUCCCAUCGUGGUAGUUUAAGGCGUGGGCCUGCUACUUAGCGGUUCUAGACAUAUUCCAAGAAUGUCUAGGAUGGAGGAACACGUAUCGUGCUGGUGCAAGGCUAGAUUCUAAGUAGUGUGAAGGCUUCGUUGUGACCUCUAGAAUGUACUUAAUGCGUAUAGUAUGGUGGUACCGACGGGUACCGAACAAACUAGAGCGAUUCAGAUCAUGUGGGUAAAGCUGUACAAACUCUGCGGAAUUCUCUAAACUAAUCGAUUAGCCAUGCUCACGGUCAUGAGCGCUUUGGUGAAGUGUUAUGAGUAUAGACUAUGUUUUAAAAUGAGAACAUGUAACUUGGUUUGAAAUUGAUAAAAUGUGUUGAGUUCUGUGAGUGUGGUGAUAUAUUAUGACUUGUUGUCAAGGAUGACAACAAGAGAUUGAUUAUGAUGGAAUUAUGAUGAACUUAAUGAUAAAAGUUAAAACUUGUUUUUGAUAGUUGAAUUGCCAACUCCAUUACAAAAGAUUUGUGAAACAAAACCUCUUUAUGCCGAAAAUAAACUACAUAAUGCCUUCCUUUGAAUAUAUGCCUUAUAUGUAGUAUGUUAGGAUUGUCUUGUGCUUGCCAAUACAUUAAUUUGAUUAAUAUACUAACUCUUGCUGUUGGAAUAAACUUUUGCUUGCAGGAUUUAGACUUAGUCUUUGAGUGAUGCAUGUUUCGAUUGCUUCUUCUAGGAUGAGAACUUGAUGGGGUAUACCCCUAGUCGGUGUGCUUGUAUUUGGGUAGUCAAGCUUCCGUUGUUCUAUAUUUAUGUCUAUUUGGCCGGUCGGCCUAUGUAUCUAUUUAGUUGUUGUAAGUCCUUAAGUUCCUUUCAUCUUAAUUGUGUUUGCUAUGUAUGUCCAUGCUUAAGAUGAAAGUGUGAAUCUAGUGCACAUCCUGGCAACUAGAUUCACAUGAGUAUGAGUUAAGAAUAUUUGAGAUGUUGUAGAUCUUUAGCCAUUUUUGUCAGCUCUCCUGAAUGUGUAACACAUCUGGUCGCCACCUUCGAGUGGAUUGACGGGUACAUCUCAG